CAGUAGCCGCGGUAAUACGUAGGUGGCAAGCGUUGUCCGGAAUUAUUGGGCGUAAAUGGCUCGCAGGCGGUUUCUUAAGUCUGAUGUGAAAGCCCCCGGCUCAACCGGGGAGGGUCAUUGGAAACUGGGAAACUUGAGUGCAGAAGAGGAGAGUGGAAUUCCACGUGUAGCGGUGAAAUGCGUAGAGAUGUGGAGGAACACCAGUGGCGAAGGCGACUCUCUGGUCUGUAACUGACGCUGAGGAGCGAAAGCGUGGGGAGCGAACAGGAUUAGAUACCCCAGUAGUCCCUGUCUCUUAUAU
rnacentral:rRNA from 1 species